GACGAACGCUGGCGGCGUGCUUAACACAUGCAAGUCGAACGGAAAGGCCCUGCUUUUGUGGGGUUCUCGAGUGCCGAACGCGUGAGUAACACGUGAGUAACCUGCCCUUGACUUUGGGAUAACUUCAGGAAACUGGGGCUAAUACAGGAUAGGAGAUCCUGCUGCAUGUUGGUGAAUGGAAAGUUUCGGCGGUUGGGGAUGGACUGGCGGCUUAUCAGCUUGUUGGUCGGGUAGUGGCUUACCAAGGCUUUGAAGGGUAGGCGGCCUUAGAGGUUGAACGGCGACAUGGCGACUGAGAUACGGAGCAGAAGGGAAUGGGAGGCAGUAGGGGGGAAUAUUGCGCAAUGGGCGGAAGCCUGAUACAGAAACGCCGCGUGCGUAAUGCUGGCUUUCGAGUUGUAAACCGAUUUGGCAUGUGAUGAAGAGGGAGUGACGGUAAUGGGUAAAGAAGCACCGGCUAACUACGUG
rnacentral:rRNA from 1 species